rnacentral:rRNA from 1 species
GAUGAACGCUGGCGGCGUGCCUAAUACAUGCAAGUCGAGCGAACAGACGAGGAGCUUGCUCCUCUGACGUUAGCGGCGGACGGGUGAGUAACACGUGGAUAACCUACCUAUAAGACUGGGAUAACUUCGGGAAACCGGAGCUAAUACCGGAUAAUAUAUUGAACCGCAUGGUUCAAUAGUGAAAGACGGUUUUGCUGUCACUUAUAGAUGGAUCCGCGCCGCAUUAGCUAGUUGGUAAGGUAACGGCUUACCAAGGCAACGAUGCGUAGCCGACCUGAGAGGGUGGUCGCCCACACUGGAACAGAAACGCGCCCCAACCCCCUGCGGGGGGCGGCAGUAGGGAUUCUCCCGAAAGGGGCGAAAGCCUGCGGGACCACCCCGGCGGGAUUAAUAAGGUUCUCGGAAUCUAAAACCUGUUUUAUGGGGAAAAACAAAAUGGUAAAUAAAUUAUCCCCGCCUGGAGGGACCAUAACAAAAAGCCCAGGAAAAGCUAGGAC